rnacentral:rRNA from 1 species
UACGUAGGGCGCAAGCGUUGUCCGGAAUUAUUGGGCGUAAAGAGCUCGUAGGCGGCUUGUCACGUCGGGUGUGAAACCCCCAGGCUCAACCUGGGGACGCCACCCGAUACUGCUGUGACUUGAGUCCGGUAGGGGAGCGUGGAAUUCCUGGUGUAGCGGUGAAAUGCGCAGAUAUCAGGAGGAACACCAGCGGCGAAGGCGGCGCUCUGGGCCGGAACUGACGCUGAGGAGCGAAAGCGUGGGUAGCAAACAGG